rnacentral:rRNA from 1 species
AGCGAACGCUGGCGGCAGGCCUAAUACAUGCAAGUCGAGCGGUCACUUCGGUGGCAGCGGCGGACGGGUGAGUAACGCGUGGGAAUAUGCCCUUUGGUAUGGAACAACUGAGGGAAACUUCAGCUAAUACCGUAUGUGCCCUUCGGGGGAAAGAUUUAUCGCCAUUGGAGUAGCCCGCGUUGGAUUAGGUAGUUGGUGAGGUAAAGGCUCACCAAGCCGACGAUCCAUAGCUGGUCUGAGAGGAUGGUCAGCCACACUGGGACUGAGACACGGCCCAGACUCCUACGGGAGGCAGCAGUAGGGAAUCUUGCGCAAUGGGCGAAAGCCUGACGCAGCCAUGCCGCGUGAAUGAUGAAGGUCUUAGGAUUGUAAAAUUCUUUCACCGGGGAAGAUAAUGACGGUACCCGGAGAAGAAGCCCCGGCUAACUUCGUGCCAGCAGCCGCGGUAAUACGAAGGGGGCUAGCGUUGCUCGGAAUUACUGGGCGUAAAGGGCGCGUAGGCGGAUAGUUUAGUCAGAGGUAAAAGCCCAGGGCUCAACCUUGGAACUGCCUUUGAUACUGGCUAUCUUGAGUUCGGGAGAGGUGAGUGGAAUGCCGAGUGUAGAGGUGAAAUUCGUAGAUAUUCGGCGGAACACCAGUGGCGAAGGCGACUCACUGGCCCGAUACUGACGCUGAGGCGCGA